rnacentral:misc_RNA from 1 species
CAACAAAUUUUAAAUUUAAAUUUCGAUACAAUUAAUAAAACAAAAGUAAAGAAUGAGUUUUUGUUGUUAUAGCCUUUGAUUAACAGAUUAAUAAACUUGUUUACAAUAGUUUAUUAUGAUGCUAAGGCCGGUAAAAAAACUGGCGCGCCAUUGUGGUUGAUUGAGGUAGUCGGUGAUUCUGUGAACCAGUGUGUGUCACUGAUGCGCCUUGUGUGUUUUUUAAUGUUUUAGCGCAGUAAUGAAUAUAUUUUUUACAAAUGUUUUACUGAAAGUAAUCACUAUGACAAUAAUGUGUGCCGAACCUUUUAUACCUGAUUAAUUGGCGUCUUGAGUCAUCACGGCUUCUUCAAGCAGUGCCCUAAGGGGUAGAGAUGGAGGCAGGAGCAAGGGCUCUCGACGUCCUCCCGCUUCUGCAGGAGCGGGUGGCGUCUCUCACUGGUGGUCGGGAUCGCCGGGGAAGUCCUAUCAUCUGGUUUCCGGCCAACUCAAGGAGGGAUCGUGUCGCUCCAGAUGACUAUAGACGUUUGAUACAUUACUUGAUCAGUAUACCUGGUGAAUCUGUGAAAAGUCUCGGAUUCACAAUAUUAAUUGACAUGAGAGGUUCGGCGUGGGCUGCUAUCAAGCCAAUCCUAAAGGUUCUUCAAGAACACUUCCCAUCAUCCGUCCAUCAGGCACUGGUAGUUAAACCUGACAAUUUUUGGCAGAAACAACGUACAACUAUUGGAGCACAUAAAUACAAAUUUGAGACAACAAUGAUUAGUUUAGAAGCACUUCCUAAAGUUAUAGAUAGUUCACAAUUGACUCCAGAUCUAGAGGGUACAUUGCAGUAUGAUCACCCACAGUGGAUUGAUCUAAGAUUGGCAUUAGAAGAAUUGAUGUGGCAGGCCGGUGAGCUUCUAGAUCGAUUAGAUGAUUUACAAGAGGAUGUAGCCAGAGCAGACUUUGCUGAUGAUGUGACGGGUGCAAGGAGAGCCAUUGAUGCACAUGCAGACAUUAGUAAACGACUUGCCAAAGUUCCUGUUGAUGAAUUAGAAGCACAAGGUGAGAGGGUGUUACAACGAUUAGAAGUGGCGGAGGCCGCGUGUUCCGAAGCUAGCGGUAGUGGCGCCGAAGGUUCUGCUUUCCACUGCGGAUCGCCGGGCGCCGUGCGAGCUCAACUUUCGGCUGUGCGGUCCGCGCAUGCGCAUGCCCAUAAACUUUGGCAACACAAAAAAAUGCAGCUAGAUCAGUGUUUUCAGCUCAGAUUAUUUGAACAAGACUGCGAGAAGAUGUUGGAAUGGAUCGUGAACCACCGUACGGCCUUCUUAGCCACGUACGUUGAGAUCGGACGGUCAUGUGCGGCCGCAAAACGUUUACAGGAAGAACACGCUAGAUUUGCAGCGGCGUGUACUAGCGGCGGAAGGCCGAGUGUCGCACGUGUGACGACAGCCGCGCGACGUCUCGCUGACAAGAGACAUUACGCUGAAAGUCAGAUAUCAGCAUUAGCACAAAGACUCGAAAGAGCUUACAAACAGUUGGCAGCCGGUCUUGAAGAACGUUCUGCAGUGCUGUCACUGUCGGUGGUAUUUCAUCAUAAAGCUGAGGCGUACGCUUCAGCGGUGGGAGGGUGGGGAGCGCAGUGUGCCGUCGCUCUACAACUAGCAACGGGUCAAGGAGGAGCGCCUUGUAACGAUCCGAGGGCAUUAGAACAACACGCCCAGAGACAUCGCCAACUUUACGAACACAUGUGUCAGGCCUACACUGAGGUUCAUUCAACAAGUAAAAAACUUUUAUAUCAGUUGGAUCAUUUAGUUCAAGUAUGUCAUCAAACGGAUCCCACGGAUAUGCAGAGUGAAGGCACAGUGAGUAGUGCGGGUAGCAGUGGUGGCGAUCCUGCAGCCGAUUACAGUUCGGGAGCAAACCACGUGCUGGCCGUAAUACAUCAAAUUCUUGGCCAUCACAGGGCUUUGGAAGCUAGAUAUCACCAAGCGAGACUUAAAUUGCAUCAAAGAUUAGCUUUGUUGCUCUAUAAAGAAGACUGUAGACAGGUAUUAGACUGGUUGGCAAACCAUGGUGAAGUAUUUUUGCAGAAAAAUACUGGUAUAGGAAGAAAUCUCCAUAAAGCUAGGGUUUAUCAGAAAUCUCAUGAACAUUUUGAAAAUGUUGCACAAAAUACUUACACAAACGCGGAGAAGCUGCUGGGAGCUGCUGAGGAGUUAGCCCGUUCGGGUGAAUGUGAUCCAGAGGAAGUCCUUGGAGUAGCGCGGGAACUCGAAGCUCAUGUAGCUGCCUUCGCGGCCAGGGUCGAUAGAAGAAGAAGACGACUCGACCUGGCCGUACUUCUGUAUACACAUGAGAAAGAGCUGCUGCAAUGGUUGGAUACACUGAGAAGCGGAGGCGGUGUAUGCGCUACAGACGACACUCCCGAAGCGGCACGAAGAGCUUUAGAACAAUGCGCCCAGCAUCGAGCAGCUAGCAUGGACGCAUGCGCUGCAACUAUCGCGCAGGGCGAAGCAUUAAUGCAAGACUUAAGAUCUUCUGGCGAUUCGGAUGCAACCAGCACCGCUGCCGUGGAAUCCACUUUAGAGCGAUUGCGAGGAACACGCAGUGCACUCGAGGAGCUGUGGUCCGAUCGCGAAAGGAAACUGGAGCUCACAUUACAGCUUAGACAUUUUGAAAGGGACGCUCUGGAGGUUUCGAGCCGACUAGAGUUGUGGGGUGACGAAUUGCAACGCACCGAACCGCCUCGUGAUCCCCAGCAAGCGGAGCAGGCCCUUGCAGCACACAACGAAAGUGUUGCUAGAAUGCAACACGCUACUUUUCAGGUGGUACAGCAGGGUCAAGAAUUGGCAGCAGCUAUUGCAGACGCUUCAGAUGUAAUGGCAUCUAGUGGUUCUGACGGGACUGAAACUGCGCCUCUUGAUGCACAAGGUCGUGUGCAGCUGCUGCUUGAGUUCCUUCACGACAGGCAGCUUGAUUUGGAAGAAUUGGCUGAAGAAAGACGUGCCAGAUUCGAACAGUGCGUGCAACUUGGACAAUUUCAAAAAGACGCAGCUCAGGUGGUCAGUUGGAUACGUAACGGAGAGGCUAUGUUGGCUGCGUCGUUCUCCAUUCCUGGAACUCUCUCUGAGGCCGAGCAGCUUAAAAGGGAGCACGACCAAUUUCAAGUGGCAGUGGAGAAAACACACGCCAGUGCUGUUCAAGUAAAGUACAGGGCUGAUGCGUUGAGGGCUGCCAAUCACUACGAUCCCCAUACCAUCAGAGAAAUAUCAGAGGAGGUAACUGAGCGCUGGCAGCGAUUAGUGACCUGCGCCGAGGAGCGUCACAAGCUCGUGACGGCCUCACUCAAUUUCUACAAGACAGCCGAACAGGUGUGUUCGGUGCUCGACUCAUUGGAACGUGAAUACCGCAGAGAUGAAGACUGGUGUGGAUCUGCAGCCGCUCCAUCAACUGACGAGCCGACUUUAGCUCAGUCUAUUGACAAAGCCGCACAGGUGGCUGCGCUUAUAGUAAAACAUGGCGAACAAAAAGAAGCAUUUCUGAAGGCCUGCACUCUCGCUCGCCGAACAGCCGAAACAUUCUUAAAGUACGCUGGACGUUCGGCUCAAGUUCACGGCCAGACUCCAGCCGCAAGCAAGGCUCAUCAUGAGCAGACACGAGCUAUACUUGACACCUUAUUGGCCCAAGAAACAAAGGUAUUGGAACAUUGGACGGUACGCAAGAAGCGUCUAGAACAAUGUCAGCAGUUUGCUUUAUUCGAGCGUUCGGCCCGCGCCGCAGUCGAGUGGAUCCGUGAGACUCAGGAACGCUGCGGAGCUGCCGCGGCCGCUGCUGCUGCGGGCGUCGCUAGGGAGAGUCGCGAGCGAGUGCGUUUGCUCGCUCAGUUGGCAGACGGACUAGUCGAGAAGGGACACCCUCAUGCCGUUCAGAUUAAAGAAUGGGUUGCUGCUGUUGACGCCAGAUACGCGGAAUUCAGUGGUUCUAUGGAAGGUGGAGAGAGCGAACCAGAAAGUGACUCAGGCGUGGCUCCAUCCUUAGCAUCAUCGCAAUCUGCUGAUAACGACAACCGUGCUGAACCACAGCCACCAACUAUAGGCGAUGAUAAACGGCGUAGCGCCAGACGUAAAGAGUUUAUAAUGGCAGAGCUGCUACAAACUGAACGUGCCUACGUGAAAGAUCUGGAGACCUGCAUUACUUGUUAUUUGCGUGAAAUGCGUACCGAUCCCGCCUCCGUACCGCUGCCACUUCAAGGAAAGGAGGACUUGAUAUUUGGUAACAUAGAAGAGAUUCAUCGUUUCCACGAGCGCGUUUUCCUCAGAGAAUUGGACAAAUACGAGACGAUGCCGGAAGACGUCGGCCACUGCUUCGUGACUUGGGCGCGCGAGUUCGAUAUGUACGUGUCGUACUGUCGCAACAAGCCAGACAGCAAUGCGGCUGUCGUCCAACACGCCGGCGAUUACUUUGAGAGGGUGCAACGAAAGAAAAAACUCGAGCAUCCACUCGCCGCUUAUUUGAUCAAACCGGUUCAAAGGAUUACCAAGUAUCAACUGCUGCUGAAGGAUCUUCAGGCAUGCUGUGCUGAAGGACAAGGAGAGAUAAAGGACGGCUUGGAAGUUAUGCUCUCAGUGCCAAAGAAGGCCAAUGAUGCGAUGCACCUCUCUCUGCUCGAGGGGUGUGACGUCCCGACUGACAGCCUCGGCGAGGUCGUCCUCCAGGACUCCUUCCACGUGUGGGACCUUCGUCAGAUCAUCAAAAAGGGACGCGAGAGGAGAGUCUUCCUUUUCGACUUGCAUCUGCUUUUGGCGAAAGAAGUGAAGGAUUCGCACGGAAAAGCCAAAUACAUUUACAAGACUAAAUUUAUGACAUCAGAACUUGGGGUGACAGAACACAUCGAAGGAGACGAAUGCAAAUUCUCGGUGUGGACUGGCCGCGAGCCAAUGGCCAGCGACUGUCGCAUCGUACUUAAGGCACCCUCGCUUGAAGUGAAGCAAACUUGGGUACGGAGUCUCAGGGAGGUUAUACAGGAAACUUAUUUCAGCUGUGCCCUGCCUCCCAGGAGCCCUGCACGGGUUCGCCCUACAAGCUCUCAACGAUCUAGCAGGGAUUUCGAAGACACCGUACUAGACGAAACGACGGAAAAUCUCGACAGAAACUCGCUCGCGUCUUUCGGCAGUGGUAAUACCACGGAUUCCGAUAAGGCCGGACCAGAAAUGACAUGGGUGAUUUAUGAGCACACCUCGGGUGGAACUGGUGAACUAACUGUGACAAAAGGCCAGCAAGUGGAGGUGGUAGAACCGUGGACCACUCGGCCUGACUGGUGGGUGGUCCGGGUUCCAGGGGAGCCACCACUAGAAGGUGCAGUACCAGCUCAGGUGCUCAAGCCGCAGCCACAACAUCCGCCACAUAAGACAUCACCCUCCAGACGUCCUCUAAGCCAACCCUGUGAGGAAACGCUAGAGGCUUCCAACUCCGAUCCUGGGAGCAGUGUGAGCGCUGCCAGCCCAGGCAAGCAACGUCGUGGUUUCAGCGGAAGAAGAUGGUUAGGGUUAAGGAAAACCACUCAAGGCAAAGGGGAGAAGACACCGAGCGGUGGGCAGUCUCCUGCUACUAGCAAUAAUGCUAGCGCUCCAGCCCCGCCUCCCAUCACUGCUCCUGCCACGACAUCGACUUCUGCUAACUCUGCUCCUGCAUCGUCCACUGUCCCUAUACCCGCUCCUACUGCUGCACAAGCUGCUGCGUCACUUGCACCAUCAGCUGCGGCUAACGCCACGAGCGGCUCUUCAGCGAAUAACACCGAGAAAACGCCUGCCAAGAAAAUGUCGGCUGAAAAGAAACUAAAGUUCCCUUCGUUUGUGAACAACGUACGCAGUGAUGAUAGCAUUGACAGCGAGCUUGGUGCGUGCGCCGUUCUCGACGAGGCUGAAGAUGAUCUACCCGACGUCGAGCUGCCGCCUCCCAUGAAACCGAUUCAGGAUCCUCAAGCAGUACUUCAGCAGGCGCCUUCAACUGCCGUACCAGCGGACGCUACGCCCGCCGCCCUGAACUCGUUGGCAAUGGACUCGUUGGAUAAUAACGGCGGUCCGGCUGAUAUAUCAGAAAUUGAACGGAUCGUUCAGGAGAAAAUGCAACAGCAUGGUGGGGCUGCCAACGUACAGGAGCCCACAGGAGAAGAAGCAGGACAAGAAGGGGAGGCCCUGCCGAUUCACACCCCGGAGGAACUGGCCAUUCUUAAGAAAAGGGAAUAUGUGCUCCGAGAACUUAUUGACACUGAAGAGAUAUACGUCUCUGACUUGCGUCUCAUCUGCGAAGGCUAUAUGCGUCACAUGCAGGAUCCUCACGGCGAACCGACCCUACCCGAUAAUCUGCGCGAUCGUCGUUACAGAAUGAUCUUUGGCAACAUCGAGGCGAUCUACGAAUGGCACAGAGACAAGUUCCUGCGCGAGCUGCGUAUGUCGCUGACCCACCCGGAACUGCUCGGCACGUUGUUCCGUCGCUUCCUCGAGAAACGUCUCUACGAGUCGUACUGCCGCAACAAGCCGGUCUCCGAAUACAUCGUUUCCGAACACGAGCACUACUUCCAGGAGUUGCGUCACAAGCUCGGACAUAAGCUGCAGUUGGGCGAUUUAUUGAUCAAACCGAUCCAGCGCAUCCAGAAAUAUCAUUUGCUGGUCAAGAAGAUUCUGUCGUACUCCGAGCAAGCGAACUGUCCCCCGCACGUGCUGGCCGGACUGCGUGAGGCUGUCCACUGCACCGAUAUCAUACCGAAGAACGCCAACCUCAUGAUGAACUUCGGACGCUUGCAGGGCUUCACGGGCAACAUAACCGCCCAGGGGAAACUGUUGCUUCACGAGACAAUGAUGGUGUCCGACAACCCGUCCGGUACCGACAAGGGCAAGGAACUGAACGUGUUCCUGUUUGAGCAGUGUGUCAUCUUCAGCGAGGCGGUCGGAAAGAGAUCCCAGUUCACCAGCCCUACUUACAACUACAAGGGACACGUUCAGGUGAACAAAAUGGAACUGGAGGAGGCCGAAGCUCUGGGCGGUUUCAUUAUACACUCGGUGUCUCUGAAGAAGCCGCGUCAUUCGUUCUUGUGCCGCGCUCCGGACGGCAAGCGCCAGGAGUGGGUCUCGACUCUGUCCAACAUCCUGCAGUCGCAGCGCAUCUUCGGCGAGGCCCUCGAGAACCCGGGCGCCUACCUGCGCGAACAGCAGCACCGCGACAAUAACCGCGAACACAAUACUGUUGGGGAGGGUUGGUGCGGGCUGCAUUACGUACCGUUAUCGUUAGACGGACGCCCUGAAUUGCGACAGAGGACGCAGCGACCCCACACUAAAGCCAACACUAUCAACUUGCCAACGACAACCACCACACGUUCGGAGGACCGCAAGAAGGCCGCCGCUAGCGUCGCCAGCUCGGCCUUCAGUCCGACGUCGCCGCCGCACGCGAACGGCCUAUCGAAACGGCCCUGGGGCCUGAAGCUGCGACGCGGCGGUAGCGCCGCCAGCGGCAGCAACGAGUCCAGUACUGAGGGGCACGUCGUCGAACUGCGUGCUCCCGAGCUCGCUGAGCCCGCCUCCGACGUCACUGUGGCACCAGGAGCCUCAGCGUCGCUCGCGUGCCGCGCCCGAGCCACGAGAGCCACCGCCUCCUGGCGCAAAACCGCCCCUGAAACGCGAGCUCUACGACACGGCGGUCGCUUCGCCAUUACUUUUACUCCAGAUGGACUCGCGACCCUUACGAUACACGCUUGUCGCGCUUCUGAUGCGGGAGUUUACUGUUGCCUGGUCAGUAACGAGCUCGGCGGCGUCCAGACAUCUGCUCGAUUAACUGUCGGGUCUGGUGGUACACCUGGAGUACCGGCAGUUCGCGCUCAUCCUGGCGGGGGCCUCGUUGUUCACUGGGAUGAGCCAUCGCCCACUCAUCUCGAAUAUUGUCGCGUCGGUGAAGGCGAGUGGCGUCGUGCUACAGAGACUCCGGCCACUGCGAACACUUUGGCUUUAGAAGAAUUACCAGCUGGACAAUACAGUUUCCGGUUGUUGUGCGCCCGGAGCGGUGCACCGGGUCCUGCCUCGGGUCCCGCGGCCUGCGGCGGUGGAGGCGCCUGGCAGCGAGAACAAUUUGCCAGACGGUAUAGCGUGGAAGAAGAAAUUGGACGCGGACGGACCGCACGAGUCCUGGCUGCUCGGGACACCGGUACAGGACAACGGGUCGCAUUGAAACAGGUAUUGGCCGGACGCGGUGCUGACGCGACUCGCGAGUACAAGAUAUUGUCUCGGACCGCUCACGGGGCGGUGGUGCGGGCGCUGGCGCUGUUCGCGGAAGUGCCGCGGGCGGGCGCGCACACGCUGGUGCUGGAGCUGGUGGGGGGCGGGCCGCUGCUGGACUGGGCGGCCGCCAACCCCGCCCUCUACACGCAGCAAACGGUCGCGCACCACACGCGGCAGCUACUCUCGGCCCUCGACUGGUUUCAUACCAUCAACGUCGCACAUCUCGAUGUCAGGCCGGAAAAUAUCCUAGUGGAGUUGGGCGGAGUUCAGCCGCAACUUAAGUUAGUCGACUUGGGAUCUGCUGUUGAAACCAUCGAUGGCGGAGCAGGGAACUCUGGCAGGGAGGUGCUGCCUCCCGCUCCUGCUCAGUUGGAGUUCGCGCCUCCCGAGUGUGUCCUCGGCAGACCCCCGGCCCCCGCAUGGGACGCCUGGGCAGCGGGCGUCUUCUUAUACGUGUUCCUCACGGGAUUAUCGCCGUUCUUAGACGAGUCAAUAGAAGAGACGACAGCAAACAUCAUCAAGUGUGAUUACUGCUUCCCUCCCGAACACUGGUCCGGCAUCGAGGAGAGGGCCCAGCAGAUCAUACGCGGCCUCCUCGACCCGGCGCCUGCCAACCGACUCUCCCCGCACGAUGCACUCAAGCACUCCUGGUUUGACGAGGCUCCGUCGACGCUGUUGUCGGCGACCCAACUGAAGACCUUCUUGGAUCGGCGGCGACCUUCGGGACACGGCAACGCCCUACACUCGCUCCGGUCACCGAACGACACCUGAGGAGACGCGAGCGAGGAACUCCGUCUACAGCCGCCGUCGGAGCGAGGGCUCGCGACACAGUUCACACGCUCGUCCGUGAAUUAGGAGUCGACGCUCAGCCAUAGAUGUGGAUUCGGAAUUCGCUUUCAUGAAAGUAGUCGCGACGUUGAUGAAUAAAUUGGGCAGUUUUUUUUUUCUCUAAGCCUAAGGGGCUAUUCCAGCUUCGCGCGCAUCGGUAGGUGAGCUUACGGGCUAGCUCUAGGAAGAGCAGUGCUUCGCAGAAUCUACCACCGGAAAUUGGGCAGUGAUAGGUUUGGUUGCGGCGGCGGCCUGUUUUAAGUUUUCAAGUUAAUGCGACGUCACGAUCGUUAGCCUUUUAGACUAAUUCUUUUUUACUAUAAUCAUUCUAUAGUCAAUGUGCCCACCUUUUGAGUUCGGUUAUUUAGUAAUGUGAAAUUGUUUAGCGGCGUGUCUUUUUAAUAAACCAACAUGGCGAUUUUAUUUUAUUUCACUAUGAACAUGCCAAAUCGUGUCUAUUCGUGUGUAACUGUGUAAGACGCUCUUUCACAGAUUAAUCAUAAAUUCCUAGGCCAUUCCAGAAGUGUAGUUAAAUUAGCAGGGUCGUGCUUCUUGCUGUUUCUGGAUUCCAAACUUUUAUUCUCUAUAUCAUUUUAAAGAUUUUUUUAUUAAUUUCUUUUAUGUAUUAAUAAUAAGUUUUAAUGUAAUCUAUACCUUUAUUCUUUGCGUUCUAACAAUAUAUUUAAAAUGUAUAUUUUAUUUCAUUUAAUGUUAUGACAUUUUCUAUAUAAAAUGUUUUUAAGUAAUCUUUGUAAGAAUCCAGCGAUGGCGAUAACACAACCUAAUUUUAUAAACAAUUAAAUAUUUGGCAUAUGUACCUAAAUUGUGUAUUUCUUAAAAUGGCCGUUAGUAAGGAAAAGUGUCUGUGAUUUAUGCUAAAAUAAAAAUAAUUCAUGCUUAUUCCUAAUUUAAUGUACGUACUUUGUUAAAAAAAUAACUAUUAAUUUGUAUAUAGAUAUAAGUUUUAGCACGUAAAUGUUCGUCUUAAUUUGUGACCAAAAUUUCUAAAUUCGGAAGUAAGUGCAACGUGAAAAUUUUAACUUGACUGUAACAACGUUCGUGUCUCUGUUCGGAUAGGCGAGGGGUAUUAUGUGAAAUGUUUUGUUUUGAUCUAUUUUAAUUUUUAUAAGCGAUCGCAGUCAAUAUAGUUUAAGAUAUAUGUUCCAGCUUGCUUGAUUAGAUGUAAGUGAUGUAACGAUACAACUCUAUUAUUAUAAUUUGUAUUCACUGUACUGAUUGAUAUUAUCGCACAAAGUAUUACGUGAUCGAAUACUUUUUAAUUUGAAUUUUUAUUUUCUAAUUAAGAAACGUCCGAACAAGGCGAUGCGAAUUAUUUCGUAGUGUUUUAAAAUAAUCUAGAUCUUACGAUAAGGAUCGUCAAACUUAUUUUAAACAUCACAUUUCGUUAGUCGCUACAAUUCGUGAUUCUUGCAUUCAUUAUUUUAAAGAACGCUUUUUAUAUUGAUGUAAUAUUAUACCUUCAAUGUACUGUAAUGUUUAUUGGAUUAAUCACGAUAUAUGCACAUAUAACUUCGCCGCGUUUCUUAAGUAUCUUAACUUGUAAUUGUUUAUAAUUAAAAAUGAUUUAAUUGUCAUACGAUUCAAAUUAAUCAAGAGGUGAAUAUUUUAUCAGUUGAUUUAUUAAAAUAACUUCCAAUAAGUUUGUUCUGGAAUUACAAUCGCACAAAUAUAAAACGUUUAACUGAAAUAAUUAAAUAGGAUUAUCUUAUCCCGAUUGGCAAUUUAUGAACUUGAAACUAUACGACAGACUUAUUGAGAUUCCGCCGGAGACGUGGGACUAAGGAGCAAUUUUAAUCAGUUUUAUCUCCAGUAGAGAUUAUUUAUUGUAAUUAUAAUUCUCAUUCAAAUUGCAUCGGACUGUAGUCAGUCGCGAUCAAACAUCACCGUGUAUUAGUACUGAUGUUAAUAAUAUAAUAAAAUCAAAUAUAUCAUUUUGUGAAA